AUGUUCCAGCUCUCGCUAUCCAUCUGCACCUCCUCGGUGCCUGCGAGGAGCAGAGGGACGCGGGUCAGCCCGCCCGCCUGCCUGCCCCAGCACCAGGCUCCCCCUGCCCCACUCACUCUCAACGGGCAUGUUGGAAAGCGCCUCGUGGUCGGAGGGGUGGAUCAGCGUGACCGUGAAGUUGGCUUUCAUGGCCGGCUCAUCAAAGCAGGGGAAGGCUUUCCGCGCAUCGGGUGCCUGCAUCUGUGUGGUGGCCACGACCCUGCGAGAAAACCCUGUCAGCACCCCAGCGCCUGGGGUCUCUGCCCCUUCUGCACCCUGCAGGGAGCCGGGGUCCCCCCGCUCACCCCACAGCCUGCCCGCUCAGGGUGGCAUGCAGAAGCACCCUGCGCCCACGGUGCAUUGAGGGCACGGGCUCCCCAGCACGCACAGCCACCUCCCCGCCGUGCCCCCCACCUACUUGGUGACAUUUCCUUCCACGUAUUCGCUGCGGUAGAAGCCCGCCAGGUCGUCAGCCAGCUCCCCCGUGAAGAUGCUGGAGAGUACAUAGCUCUGGCCCUUCGUCAGCAUGCCGCCCAGCUGCACCACCAGGUACUGGGUGGUGGUCUCCAGCCAGGUGUUGGUGAUGGGGGGCGCUUGAGAGUUGCCCACCGCCUGCAGCGAGGCGUGGAACCCCCCCUGCAUGGUGUAGUUCAGCUUGUUGCUGUGGAUGAUGAUGAGAUCGGUUGGUUCCUCACAGGUAAAGGUCACGCUGCUGUUCCCUUUGAAGAUGUACAUGUUGUUGUUAUCGGGCGUCAGGAAGGGCUGCAGGGUCACAUCAUAGAGCUCAGGCUUCAGUGUUGUUGGCAGCCGCCACCGGUUCCAGAGCUCGCUGUCUUGUUCUUCUCCUGGGCAUACACCACGGACAGCGCGAUGAUGGUGGCCACAGCGCCCACGGCCAGCACGAUGCACACGACGCCCACGGCCUUGCUGAUGAAGAACCCGGCCGCCAUGGCGGGGCUGCAGGAGCUGCGCUCACAGAGGCCGCUCGGCCCGGCAGGCACGGCUUUUAACCUCUCUCUCCCCCAGGGUUUAUUAGUCCAAGUUAAUGGGUGAAGGAUUAAACGACCAUGAGGCGCGGGGUGGUGACAAGCCCCUGGGAUGAGCUUUCUGCCCGCCCACCUCCCAGCCUCGCAGGAGCGCUAAUCCCAGGUGCUGCUGCGGCUGGGGUGAAACCAGGAGCUCAGGAUUGCAUCAGCAGGGAUGGGCAGCACGGGAAGGGGCACAGCUACAGGCCAGGGCUCCUGGCGUCCCUCCCGGGCACUGGCCUGGCCCUGCAAAAGGAGGGACAGAGCUGAGUCACAGCCGGCGACCACGUCCCCACCUUGCCCCAGGGCAGGCAGGCAGCCCCAGUACCAAGCCCAGGCUCGUGCUCAGCAUCGCACCGUUCACCCUCACGUGGCAGGGUCUGCAAGCACUGAGGGGUGGGAGCCACCAUCGGCCCCCCGGCACGGGCACAGCCACCCGGGGCUCCCCACACCGGCAGGGAAAAGCAGGAGGGUGCAGCGCUGCAGCCCGGGGGUCCGCAGUGGUGCAGGGCUGGAAGCCGGGGACCGUGCUCAGGGGAGCCUGCCCUGCCCACCGCCCUCUCAAAGUCCAGGUUUGUGUUACUUGGUGUGCACUGGGAGUUCAAACUCCAGCCCCACGAACCCAGCAGAAGUUGGCACGUGCCCACUGUGGCUGGCUGCAGGGCACCCAGCAUCCUGCAUGCUCUGCGAGCUGGGGGUCCCAAACACACAGCACACAGCUGGGGGGCUCCGGGGGCUCAGCCUCGCCUGCACUCCCCAGCGGGGGCCCUGGCUGGGAGCCAAGCAAAGGUGCUGGGGCCGGACGUGCUGGUGCAUGGGGCAGGGGCACACACAUUGCCUGUGUGUUGUCCCCCUGGGCUCUGCCCUCACAGGGGAGAGCAGCCCCAGGCCCCCCCAGGCCGUGUCCCACUGCCCUCUGCCAGAGGCUUCUGCGGGCACAGCAGAAGGCGAAGGAGUAAAGUCCCCGUGCAGGGUGGGGUGGGGAGAGGAAACGCUCUGCAUCUCACGCUGGGAACAGAAACUUCCCAGGAGCUGAUUCCUUCAGUGGUGUUGACCUAGGCUGGUUCUGCUGGCAGCUGGCACGACAGGGCAAGGGGCAGACCUGGGGAAAAGGGUGAGAGGUGUCCUUUGGGAACCGUGCCCUGUCCCCAUAAGCACCCAGAUGCACCCAGCGUCACUGCAGCUGGCAGAGCAGCCCUGGGAGGCUGCAGUGUCCCCGGGCAACCCCUGCCCUGCACAGCCCCACCGACCCCGCAGUCUGGGCAGCCUCCACCCCCUGUAGCACAGCCAGGCUCCUGACCUGGCUUUGGGAACUGGGAUCAGGAAACAACAUACCCCAAGCCAUGGCUGUGAUGGCACCCUGGAGACCGGGGGGGCCCCACACGCCCUCCGCUGUUCUGUGCCCUUGCAGAGCCGGCUCCCCCACGCAGACCCCAGCGCCCAACCCCACGUACUUCUCACCCGCAGACAGCAGCCCCCCAGCACACCGCUCCCAGCCCGGCACAGCCGCCUGCACCACCCCACACCACCCCCUGCUCCAUCUCCCCCUCCCCAGUGCACGCAGCCCCCAGCCUCCCCGCAGAGCCCCCACCUCCACACGGGUCCCUGCAGACAGCGCACAGGCGGGCAGCGGUGUGGGGUGCUCCCUGCCCACCACCUCCAGCCCCAGGGUGCACACACAGCUCCCUGCUCCCCGUAGCUCUCCUGAGCCACACGCCCCCUCCAUAACCCCUCACCCCCCCGGAGCCCCUCCAUCACAUGCGUGCUCCGCAGCCCCCAUGCACAUGAGCGCCACAGCCCCAAGCACGCUGCCAGACCCCGUCCCACAGGCCACGGUCCCGCUGUGUCCCCUGCGUGUGCGCAGCCCCUGGUCCCCCCAGCCCAGCCCACGGGCACCCCAGGCAGGCCCCCAGCCCCUGCGGGGGGGUCUGCCCAGCACCCACCUUCCUGCGCUCAGCCGUGGGGUGCAGCAGGCGCCGGGGCUCCCGCCUGCCCCCUUGCCAUCGAGGCGCCCUGCCUGCGCCCUGCCUGCGCCCUGCCUGGACUCUCUGCUCCGCUAGUUCAGGCACCAGUAGGAAGGAAAGUUUCCUCCUCGUGCUCCAAGGGAAGUAACCUGAACCGUUCCUCGGCACCUUAACCCCUGUGCUGCUGGCCGCCCCUACCCGGAGGGCUGGGGGGCCACGGCAUGGUGCAGGGGGGCCGCGGCACAGAGCCCAGCCGGGGCGCCAGGGCUGUCCGGCACAGCACCGGCACAGGGACGGGGCGAGGCACCGCUGCCUGGGGAAGGCGCUGCCAGGUCUGGGCACACCGGGGCCCCCCAGGGCAGACGGGGAUGCCAGCGAGCUGCGGGCCCCACCUCGGCCACCACCACCCCAUCAGGAAGGCACUGCUUGGAGGAGGCUGCCUGCCAGCCAUGCGCAGCCUGGGCACCCCCGUGCCCCGCUGCCAGGGACAAAACACCUCUGCCUGCCCAGCCCCCAGAGCCCCCCAGCACCCUGCCGAGUGUCCCCUCCCUCACACCGGCCUUUGCCAGCACACUUGUCCCUAGGGGGUGGCAAGGAAGGGGACAAGCCACCAGGGGACAAGCCACCACCUGCCAGCAGCAACAGCCUGGUGGUGCGCCCCUUGGCACACAGUGCACCCGGGCACCCCAGGAACACCGUCCCUGCAGGAUUUCCCUGGCCGGGGGAGAAGUCUCACCCUGUCCGUGGCAGGGAGAGGUUAAACACUCCUGUCGAGGGUGUGCAGGUGCCUGCAGAAGGGCUGGGCAUGUGCCAGGCUCCGUCCUGCUGCUCUCCAUCGCACUGCCAGGGAGGGAGGCCGGAGCAGGGGACGUGCUCCCACAAGCAAGCCCCGGCUGAGCUCAGGGGAACCCGGGAACUCGUCGGUGCCAAAGCCUGGCCGGGGACGGGCCAGCCCCCAGCAGCCUCCCAGUGCCAAGGGGCUGGGGGCCAGCUCUGCCUCUCGCCUCCGCAGCCCUGCCCCAGGCAGCAGGAGCGAGGUCUCUCCUGAGGUCUCUCCUCUCGCACGGCCACCCCUGCCCCAUCCCAGCCGGGGCUGUCCCCACGCUGCUGGGCUCAGGGCUGCAGCCCUCCCGGGUGGGGGCCAGGGCAGGGAGCUUGGCCCAUCCUGUUCUCCCUGCCCUGCACGCAGGGGGGACAAGGGAGCAGCCGGAGCAGCAGCCGGACUCACCCAGCCGCAGCAGCCUCCACGGCCCUCGGCGUCGUGCAGACCCACGGGGCUGAAGCUCUGGUGGGACACAGGAAAGGGCGGCGAGGACGGAGCUGUUACCGGAGGUGCCCGAGUGGUUCAUCAUCACGUGUGGCCAGGCACGCGCUGCUGACCACCACAGCGCCGGGCUGGAGCACGGGCACAGCCCAGCACAGCCAGGGCUGCCUGCCCAUCGCCCCCUUCCCCCCGCACCCGGGCUGCCUGGAGCACGGCGGCACCGCGCUGAGCCCCUCGCUGCCCUUCCCAAGCCCACGACACAUCCCAGCCCAACACGUCCCACCCCAACACGUCCCACCCCUGACACGUCCCACCACCGCGUGGCUCGGGCGGCUGCUGGGAGGAGAAGGAGGAGGAGGAGGGCUGGCAGCGAUGAAGAAACGGCUGCCCAGCUCGGUGACCUGACGAGCUGCUGGGGUGUACGUUGGGCAGCUGGGGAAGGGUUAAGCUGCAGAGAGGAGACAGCAGGAAAAUUCCUUCCAAGCAGAGUCACCGUUUCCCUGUCGGGGAAGUGGAGGCAGAGCCCGCGGGAGCACAGCU
rnacentral:lncRNA from 1 species